rnacentral:misc_RNA from 1 species
ACAAACUUGGUCAUUUAGAGGAAGUAAAAGUCGUAACAAGGUUUCCGUAGGUGAACCUGCGGAAGGAUCAUUACCGAGUGAGGGUCCUUGGGGCCCAACCUCCCACCCGUGUUUAUCUGUACCCUGUUGCUUCGGCGGGCCCGCCGCCCAGUCGGCCGCCGGGGGGCUCACGCCCCCGGGCCCGUGCCCGCCGGAGACACCUGAACCCUGUUCUGAAAGCUUGCAGUCUGAGUUGAUUCUUGUAAUCAGUUAAAACUUUCAACAAUGGAUCUCUUGGUUCCGGCAUCGAUGAAGAACGCAGC